UACAGAGGUCCCAAGCGUUGUUCGGAUUUACUGGGCGUAAAGGGAGCGUAGGUGGCAUUCUAAGUCUGAUGUGAAAGCUCUGAGCUUAACUCAGAAAUGGCAUUAGAUACUAGUUUGCUUGAGGAUUGGAGGGGAGAUUGGAAUUCUUGGUGUAGCAGUGAAAUGCGUAGAUAUCAAGAGGAACACCGGUGGCGAAGGCGGUCUGCUGGGCAGUUGCUGACACUGAGGCGCGACAGCGUGGGGAGCAAACAGG
rnacentral:rRNA from 1 species